GACGAACGCUGGCGGCGUGCUUAACACAUGCAAGUCGAACGAAGUGGCGAACGGGUGAGUAACGCGUAAUCCACCUGCCCUUCAGAGGGGGACAACAGUUGGAAACGACUGCUAAUACCGCAUACUGAAGGCGGAGAGUGCGUCUGAUUAGUUAAUUGGAGGGGUAACGGCCCACAAAGGCGAGGAUCAGUAGCCGGGCUGGGAGGAUGGACGGCCACAACGGGACUGAGACACGGCCCAGACUCGGACGGGAGGCAGCAGUUGGGAAUCUUCCGCAAUGGACGAAAGUCUGACGGAACAACGCCGCGGGAGUGAAGACGGCCAUCGGGUUGUAAAGAUCUGUUAAUCGGGACGCGGUACCGGAAUAGAAAGCCACGGCUAACUACGUGCCAGCAGCCGCGGUAAUUC
rnacentral:rRNA from 1 species